rnacentral:lncRNA from 1 species
CGUUGGUACUCCUGGUUCUCAGGGAUUCAGACUCUGACUGGCGUCCACUCCAUUGGAUCCCGGCCCUCAGGUCUUGGAACUUGCACUGCCAGCAUUCCUGGGUGUCCGGCUUGCGGACAGCAGAUCGUGGGACUUCUCAGCCUCCAGAAUUGCACGAAGUGUCUCCUUACGAAUCUCUUCCUAUGUACGUGUAUCCUAUUGGCUCUGUUUCUCUGCAGAACCCUGACUAAUGCAAACCCUCUCAUCUCACAGCAGUGCAUGUACAAACCCACUCACAUCUUCCCCUCCCCUGCCUUCCCUACCGCAAGUUCCCUCCGACCAGAGGCCAAUCCCGCUGCGGUGCCCCGGACCCACCCUCUGCACCAGCCUUCCUUCUUGUUUUCUAAAAGCUCGCGUUUUCUGUGGGCUUCCAAGGCUGCUCUUCAGUAUCUUUACGUCAGAGCCUCCCAGCUCCUUCCCCUCUCUCAAAAGCGUUUUCACAGGGACUGUAGGCUCCUUCCCUCCCCUUGAUAACCAAGUACUAUGCCCCAGGUUCUUACCUCACAGCCCAAAGUUGUCCUAAGUCGGGCCCUGACCUGAGUGUCUCCAAAUCCAGCAGGCCGUCUGCUCUCCUGUGACAUGCAGCAUCCCACGGCUUUUCCUAAAAGACCCCCUCUGUCAGCUUUGCUGUCACCCACCCUCCAGGGCUCUCUCUUACAGGUCUGCCCUUUGCUAGCAUCUUAGCCUCUCCACCUCCCGGUGGUCCUGUCUGCGAUGGACCCCCUCCAUGUGUCCCAAGGCCCUCCAAAGGAACAGGUCUGUAUCAGGUGCAAUUAGAUUGAGGUGCAAUGCAAGGGCUUGAAUUGCAGAGAGGUUCAUUUUUCUUUUUGUAGAAAAGUCUGGGACCAGCUGUCAGAGACUGAUUUGGCCACUCCAUGGUCACCAGGACCAGGCUGUGUCCAUCUUUUCUGUUCUGACCUUUUUCACAUGGGCCAUUGUCCAUGUCACCGCUGGUCACCAGCUGCAGCAGUCGCAUUCUUGCUCCGGGCAGCAGGAAGAAGGUGAGACCAGAAGGCAGAGGGGGCUGGUCCUGCCUGGUCAGCCCCCAGGGGGCUUUGCCCAGACACCCCUUCCCCACCCAUGGCUCUGCUGAUUUCUCUAUAGCUGCCACCCUCUGAAAAGGGAGCUGGCAGAGUAGUUCUUAGACAUGGCACCUGGCCACCUCUGUGGCUGAAGAAGAAGGGGGUUGAGGAUUGGGGUACACACCUGUCAGUCUCCAUGCAAUGCCCCAAAGUGGACCACUGACCCCACACCACGCUGUUCUCCUCUGAGUUUUCUCACCUCUGUCCAAAUGGCUGCAGAAGCCAAAAGCCCCAGAGCCCAGCUCCCCUUCCCUCCUUUCUCUUCCAUCCUUCCAUCCUUCCAUGAGCCUGCCCCUCAUCCUCCUCAGGGCUGGAACUGGCUGCCGGAUUCCUCCCUGGCUCCGUGGGGGCUGGCUCAGCAAUCUGAGCUGCCGAUGGCUCUGUGGUCCAGCUGGGAGGAUUCAUGCCCCAUUGGGGCUGAGAGGAAUGAGGUGAGGGCUGUGGGGUUUGCCCAGAAUCUCCUGAAAUAUCGGGCCCAGGAACUACAGCAGGACUCUCAUUCCGCCUUCUGGCCACUGUUGGGGGUGACACUGGCAGGAUCCAGGGGCUCUGGAAAGCUCCAGGGGAAAUUUGAGGCAUAACCCAGCUUCUCUGAGACGGAACUCAGGGAGGAUCCAGCUCAAUCCUACAGAGGCGACCCCAAGGAAGGACCUGCCCAGGGUCACUUGGAGAGCUGGGCGGGAGGAGGGAGAAACCUCCCCCGUUCAGAGUGACAAAGCCCCCCUUGCCUCAGGGAUGGCUGAGAUCCAAGUCCUCAAAACACGCCGCCAUCUGGAGGGUGUGAGAGCGAGGUCCGUCCUCAGCAUGGACGCUGCAGUGCACACUGUUCCGUGCCAGGUGCUGGCUGACCCUGCCCUGUGGGAGGUGAUGGACAGGCACACAGGGGGAGCCCCGCAAACAAGGGGCCCUGUUACAGCAGAGUGGGAGAGCGCCUGGUAGGACGCCAAGCACCGUGGCCGGGCUGCAGAGAGGCCUGCGGGACUUGUAGACAAGACGUCAUGGAGAAGGCGGAGCUCCCAUGGGCCUUGCAGGUUUCACCAAGCAAGAGCGGAGAAGACACAGGCUGGACAAAGGAAGGUGGACGGGACAGCCAGCCGUGCAGCAGCCUCACAGGACACAGCGACCAGACAGAGAGCACCAGCUGACACUCAUUCCUCCAGCACCAGGAAAUGCCACAGCAGAAGAGAGUCUUCAAGAUGGGCCAGACCCACUUCUGCAGCAUGGUUGCUGGGAGCCUGCACAGGCCAGGCAUUUCUCUACAGGUGCAAUUGAGAACUCACUGAGGCAAAAGGGCCUUUGUCAACCCACAGAAGUGACAAGUCCAAGUGCAGACCAGGCUUCAGGUCCAGUUGCUCUUCAGAACUCAAAAUCCCAUCUCUGCAGGUCUCAGCCAAUCCUGCUCCCGCCUGUUUUUAUUUCCUGCCCAGAGCAAGUACAGAACCGAGGGCCAUCGAUGGGCGAGAAAUCACUGUGCCUCCAAGCUGUAUUUUUCACCGUAACAAGUCAUUACUUCUGUGCCCGGAGUCAUUUCUCAGGAUCUUAAUGCAUUCGUUUAUCAAUCAAUACUUAACUGAUGUCUAUAAAGCAUGUUCAAAAUCAGAGGUGAGAGCAGCUCACCAGGUACCGACUUCGUGUCUGGAGCCACCUUGUUAAGGAGCAACCCUUGGCACGGGUCCCGUGUCUGCACCCUCGGGAGCUCUGGGUGGGUGCACUGGGGUCCUCACAGCCCUUCCCACCACCGCAGAUGGAAAUCUCUACCUGGCAGAGGGGCUCAGUCGUCCCCACCUGGGAGUCUGGGGCCUACCGGCAGCAGAAGGUGCAGUGGCCAAACACAGAGACAUUUCUAUCAUCAGACCUGGUCCCCAGCCUGACUCUGCUGCCCACUUACCCCUGGCCAGGGCGAGUUCAUCGACUGUGCCGAGCCUGGCUGCUUCUCCAGCCUAACAGGAGUCCCCGUCUCGACAGGACUGAGUGGGGUGAAUGCAGCCAAGUGCUCAGCAGAGACUGUCCCACCGGGAAGUGUUCACAAAUAUGGGCUGUUGAACCUGCUGUUGUUAGAUCUAGAUCCAGUUCUGCGACCACGUUCAUGACUUAGAUCAUAACUGAAGUGCGGGCCAGCCGAGGCCGGGCCGUUUAGGGGUUUGGCUGCUAAUUCAAGAAGGACACCUGGGUUUGGAUCCCAGAGUUCCCUCCAGACCCAGAUGUGGCCUCAGGCAGGUGAUGAGCCUGGAGAUGCGGUUUCAUUUUCUGCAGGGUGGUCAAAGGAGAUCUCAGGCUUGUAGGAGACAAAGCACAUCGCCCCGAACUGCUCAGGAGGCGCAGAUUACAGCCACCCUCCUUAUCCACCCCGUCUCCCAUCACAGCCCUCAUGAGUGCUCAAGCAAGGCUCAGGGCCUGAUGGACGUGGCUGCCUCCUCCUAGAGGACAGGCAUGUCUCGGCUGCCUGCACCAGCCAGCGGCCCUUCUCCCCGGCCAGGAGAUCCUCCAAGGAAGGCCAAGGGCCAAGCAGCUGCUGGAGCAGAUGACCACAAACUCAGUGACUGCAGAGUGCACGCGCUCAUCACCUUACAGUUGUGUAGGCUGGGAUCCCACUGGGCUAAGACCAAGGUGUUGGGAGGCUGCGUUUCUUGCUGGAUGCUGUAAGGGAGAAGUCGUUUCCUCGUGUUUUUUUAACUUCCUUGGCCCACGGACCUUCCUCCACCUUCAAAGCCAGCAGCCUCGCGUCUUCUGACCUUCCAUUGUCACAUCGUCAUCUGACCCACGUAAGGACCCGUGUGAUUAGGGUGGGCGCACCCGGGUAAUCUUCCCAUCUCAAAGUCCUUGACUGAAUCACAUCUGCAAAGUCCCCUUUGCUACGUAAGGUCACAUGUUCACAAGAUCCAGGGAUUAGGACUUGGACAUUUUUGGAAGCCCAUUGUCCUGCCAACAGCACAAGACCUCCAGGUGAUCCUGAUGUGUAACGCACAGUGAGAGACAAAUGCUCUGAUGGACCAUCAACAGCAGAAGAGACAUAAAUGGAAGAAAAUGUACAUAAAAGAGAGUCCACUUAAACAUGUGAUCCUCUCAAAGGAAGAAAAGAACAGGGCUCACUCAUCCACAUCAACCCGUCUUCAGGUGAUGUUUCAAAGGAGGCGUGUUCGUAAUGUCCUCCCGCGACGAGGGACCUGGCCAAGAGAAACUACGCAGGAGGCCCAGAAGGCAGAGCCUGCUCCAGGUCGGCCUCACUGCUGU